rnacentral:rRNA from 1 species
CCUACGGGUGGCAGCAGUGAGGAAUAUUGGUCAAUGGGCGCGAGCCUGAACCAGCCAAGCCGCGUGAGGGAAGAAGGUACUGCGUAUCGUAAACCUCUUUUGUGAGAGAAGAUAAUGACGGUAUCUCACGAAUAAGCACCGGCUAACUACGUGCCAGCAGCCGCGGUAAUACGGAGGGUGCACGCGUUACCAGGACUCACUGGGCGUACAGAGUGCGCAAGCGGGCUUGUAAGUCAGAGGUGAAAUCCUGUAGCUUAACUACAGAACUGCAUUUGAAACUAUGAGUCUAGAGUGUGGGAGAGGUAGGUGGAAUGCUUGGUGUAGGGGUAAAAUCCGUAGAUAUCAAGAGGAAUACUCAUUGCGAAGGCGACCUACUGGAACAUUACUGACGCUCAUGCACGAAAGCGUGGGGAGCGAACAGGAUUAGAUACCCGGGUAGUC